GAAGGGGGGGCAAGUGUUCUUCGGAAUGACUAGGCAUAAAGGGCACGUAGGCGGUGAAUCGGGUUGAAAAGUGAAAGUUGCCAAAAAAGUGGCGGAAUGCUCUCAAAAACCAAUUCACUUGAGUGAGACAGAGGAGAGUGGAAUUUCAUGUGUAGGGGUGAAAUCCGUAGAUCUAUGAAGGAACGCCAAAAAGCGAAGGCAGCUCUCUGGGUCCCUACCGACACUGGGGUGCGAAAGCAUGGGGGAGCGAACAGG
rnacentral:rRNA from 1 species